UGUGGAAGGUUCUGAAUUGAUGCCAGCUGUUGAGGCCACCUGUCUUUCUUCAAUCUUCAUUUUUUCAUUUUUCUCUUUUCAAUAUUUAUGUCGGAAACAUUCUUCUUCUUCAUAAUACAACUUGUGCUAUCUUUCAUCUCUAAUGGAUUGCCAUCAGCUGUAAUUCCAACACCCCCCUCGGAGGAACGAACACCCAAUUUGCAUAACAGAAGAUGGUGAGAGGUACCUGUGAGUGGCUUAGUAAAAAGAUUUCGAGCUGGGAAGACGAAGGGAGAAGUGAUAAAGAAAUCAAACUAGCAAGAUAUUGUUGUCGAACAAAGUGGCAAUCUAAGUCAACAUGCUUCGUCCGUUCAUGAAAAACAGGAUUUUUAGCGAUAUGAAUUGUUGCCUGGCUAUCGGAAUGAAGAGAAAUGGGUAGACAAGGAGGCAGUGUAAGAUCCGAAAUAAGAUGGACGAGACAUGUUAACUCAGCAACAACACGACGCAUAGACCUAUACUCUGCUUCGGCAGAGGAAAGUGAAAGAAAAGGUUGCUUUUUCGAUUUCCAAGAAAUUGAACUACCACCGAGGCUAAUGUAGAAACCACUGACCGACUUGCGAGAGUCAGGACAACUGGACCAUUCAGAGUCACAAAAAGCCAAUAAGGUGAAAUAUAGGGAAGAAUUAAGGAAAAUCCCUAAGCCAGGGUCAGAAAGAAGAUACCGAAGGACAUGAUAAGCAGCCAAGAGAUGGGCGUGAUGAGGGCGUUGCAUAUAUUGGCUAAGAUGCUGAACGGAAAAGGAGAUGUCAGGCCGUGUGUGAGUGAGAAAGUUGAGUUAUCCAAUAAGGCGGCGAUAACUAGUGACAUCAGAAAGGGGACAACCCAUAUCAGAUUGUAAUUUCAGGGAGGGAUCCAAAGGGGAAAGAGCGGGUUUAAGUCCAAGGCACUGAUAUUCGGAAAAGAGCUCCAAGAUGAACUUGCGUUGAUUAAGAAUCAAACCAUGUGGUUCCCUGAUAACUUCAAUACCCAAAAAAUAAUGUUCAGAUUCUCAGCAUCCAGAUCACACAUAGAUCGAUUAUCGAUCCCCAGUUCUGCAGAUUCAGUGUUGAGCCCUCAUUCUUCAAAGACAAUAGACAUGAGUUCAUUUCAGUAUUUUUGUCAUUUAGUUUCAGUUUUUUCUAGACUUAGCAGGGGUUUGUCUCCGUAUUUCUAGUCAAAUAUAGGAUUAUUUCAGACAUAGUUAGUUUCAGCCUAGAAGUGAGUUAAUAUUUUCUUUGUAUUAAACUCCUCAAUUUUCAUAUGUCUUAGUUUAAGCAUAUGGGUAUUCCCCAACUUUUCAUUUUAA